CGUAGUGAUCUCAGGUUGGAGGAAUACUUAUAUUCAUAUCCUUUGCAAGCUACUCUUAACAAUAAAGUGCUCAGCAGUUGGUCACGUUCAAUGAGAUGUAUCCCUAUGUCUCACUUGCAUGCUAUACCAGUGUCUCCACACUGUUUGGUUAAGAGGACAACCAACAUACAUGGCACACAAUGACCUAUACUUAAUAUAGCAUAUCAUUUGGCCGUGAACUAAGUUUUUAAGAAGUAAAUGAUAUAUCCUCGUAUAUCGAUUCAAAUAAUCCUAAGAACUUCAUCACAAAAUAGGAGUUCAAAUAAAAUAUAUACAGA
rnacentral:lncRNA from 1 species